GUCUACAGCCAUGCCACCCUGAACAAGCCCGAUGUCUGUUCUCGGAAACUAAGCAGGGUUGGGCCUGGUUAGUACUUGGAUGGAAGACCACCUAGGAAGAACAGGUACUUUUUACU
rnacentral:rRNA from 1 species